GCUCCUUGCAGCCAAGUGUCACCUGAUCACACCAGGAAAUGCCCUGAAAUGGCCGGACACUGACCAUGCUCACACUGUCCCCACAUCUUCUCUCACUCCUCACCUCACACACUGAGGGACACCACGUUCCCCCACCAUGGAAAGUGCCAGCUCUGCCUUCUGCAGGUGCUUCAUCCCUGCCUGGAGCCUCUCUCUCUGAGGGGCACAGAGAGGAGGCUGGGCUGUGGCUCGCACCAUGUGGCACCCAGCCAGUGCUGAGGAGCAGAGGCAGCCCAGUGCUCUCCUCCAGGGCAGCAGGGAGCACCAGGGAGCCUUGGUCCUGCCAGAGUGGCCACAGGGUUGGCUGCCCCCAUGCAGUGUAGCUGGGAGAAGGUCCUGAGCACUGCCACUGGGCGCUGGAUCCCAGCUUGUGCAGAGCAGGACAAGGCUGGACAGCAUGGAAAGGCAUGGCAAGCAUGUGCUCCUGCUCCCUCCCUUGGAAAUGCCGUUAUUUAGAUGAGAAAAUAUGGAAGCGCCUUCAGUCGCUGCUCAGUGACCUUCAAAACCAUCCAGCAAAUUGGGCUUGGACGCCGAGCCAGGCCAGAUGGCCCUUCUCAAACACGCUGGCCGUGCAAACGGGGUUUUACUCCUGGAUCCUGCUCCUGCUGCAAGGCAGCCUCGUGAAACGGCGCGCUCAGUCUGUGCGCUGGGAAGGCAGCCACGCCGCCCGUGCCGAGGGGGAGGCGCUGGGGCACUGCCAGGCGGGGCUGGGGAGGGACAGAGCUGGCUGAGCCCGGAGGCUUUGGGGUGUUUUCAGUUCACUCAGGCAGAUGAGCCUAACUAGGAAGCGACCACGCAGGGAUUCCAGGAUGCUUCAUUAGCAUGCAAUCUGGAGAGGAGUGCUCUGCCUCUACAUGCAAAGGGAGGCUGAAGCUACUGCAGAAGCUGUGACUGAGGGAUCCAUCUCCCAAAAUCAGGGCUGAACAAGCCUCUGGCACGGAUGCCAUCCUGCAGGGAUGUUGGGGACCCCGGUGCAGUGGCUGGAGGAGUGCUGGGGCUGAGGGCCCAUUGUCACACGCCCACAUUGGUGACCAACAGCACCACCUCCCCCUGUCACUCCUGGUCUCUCACCAGUCCCCUCCCUUGUCUGUCCUUGGUCACCAACGAGAGGCACAGGGGGAGGUGGAUGAGGCUGGUGAUUGCCUCCAGGUCAGCAGCAUCAGGAACACGGGGCAACUCUUCCACACAGACCUGGGAAUGGAGGGAGGUCCUCAAGGAGCUCAGCUGCUGAUAAAUGCUUCCCAACGGGACUGGCAUGGCCUUGCUGGUGACCUGAGCCUCUGGCAAGGGUUUCAUGCCCUCACCUAUGCGAGGAAUCAACCAUAUCCCCUAAGGUCUCUUGCCCAGAGGUCCUCCCUUGGGUACUGGGGGACUCUGCCUGAGGGGACAGGGACUGUGACAAGCGCCUGUGAGCUGUCAGGGUGAUGCUGAGCCCAGAGGAGCUGCUACAGCCUGUUGGUGUGGAGACAGGGAAUCGUGUGCUGGGCUGCAGAUCUCCCUGCCCCCGAGCUGGGCCAUGGUGGCUGUGCCAGAAGGGGAGAUUAGAGGCUGAAUGAACUUGUUCCACGACAUGCACCAUUUUCUAUGCAGCAAAGGUAUGUUUAAUCACAUGGAAUUGCUGCCAAGAAUUAGCAUUGAAAGCUAUUAUUAGGCAUUGCUAUUAUUAAAGAACAGAUUUCCCCCUAAAUGCUGUUCUGGAGCAAAAUCCAAUACUGGAGUGCGCACCAAAGGUUGAUCGGAAAUUUUCUGCCAAAGGUUGGUCAGCAAUUUCCCACCCAACCAGUACCACAUGAAAAAUGA